rnacentral:rRNA from 1 species
AUUGAACGCUGGCGGCAGGCCUAACACAUGCAAGUCGAGCGGAGCGGGGGACGGGUGAGUAAUGCCUAGGAAUCUGCCUUGUUGUGGGGGAUAACGUUCGGAAACGGGCGCUAAUAACGCCUACCAUUAGAUGAGCCUAGGGCGGAUUAGCUAUUUGGUGGGGUACAGGCCUAACCAGGUGACGAUCCGUAACUGGUCUGAGAGGAUGAUCAGUCACACUGGAACUGAGACACGGUCCAGACUCCUACGGGAGGCAGCAGUGGGGAAUAUUGGACAAUGGGCGAAAGCCUGAUCCAGCCAUGCCGCGUGUGUGAAGAAGGUCUUCGGAUUGUAAAGCACUUUAAGUUGGGAGGCGUUACCAACAGAAUAAGCACCGGCUAACUUCGUGCCAGCAGCCGCGGUAAUAC